UGGUUCUGCUGUGGGACAGGGAGCACCUGAGCUGAAGUUGAACCUAUGGAGGAGAGCCUAUCUGGAGGGCUAAGGGCUCUUCUAAGCAUUGCUACAGUGGUGUUCCUGGAGCUGAAACUAGAGGAGCAGGCAGAGCCACCUCUCAGAGAGAGCCUGUAAUUGCAUUUUUGAUGACUCAAGGCUGGCGUUUGUCUUUUUUGUUGGAUGCUGGCAGAGCCUGGUUCUGCUCCUUGUGCUGUGUGGAUCAGCCAAUGCUGGGAAAGAGGUGAAAUCAUCACAACAGCAUCAAUCUGCCUCGUGCCUGUGAGUUUAGGGACCACAGCAGUGUAAUGUCUCCUUCCUGAACCAAGUUCCUUCAUUCUAUCUGCAGUCUUAUUGCUCUUUUCUCACUUGUACAGUGUACCCAGCAAAGAGCUCCUCCAGCCUUCACUAUGGUGUUGUGGCUAAGCUACAGAAGCCUUGAAAGGAGCUCGUGCUAUCAGGUGAACCAUAUUUGAAUUCAUCUGUGCAAUUAAAUGCUUUGCGAACAGAACAAUGGGAAAACACCGUUGGGUAAUGGCAACACAGAAGCUGGUUUCAUUCUGGAUAAUUUCUUCUAGCUGAAAAUGAGGUCUCGUUGGUGCUUCCUGAAGGAUGAAAACACCUCUCAGAAGGGUGUGAGCAACCCAGAUACACGGCUCCUUUGCACGCCACGCCAUCAGCACACAAGUUUUGAGGUCUGAUGGUAGAUGAGAGGAAAAUCCCCAGGCUGUUCCACAUAAUCUGGUUGGUGCUAAGUGCAACCUUGUGCCUCUGUGUCAGUUUGUGAUUGCAGCCUCCCACACAUUCCUUUGCAAGUUGGCUCCGUCGCAGCUUCUGCUGCUGCUUCAUGUACUUAGCAAAACAGACCUCGUGUAUGGAGUAACUGUGGACAAACAAGGAGACUUUGGAGGUGUAUUUGUGGUGAUGUGGCAGGAUGGGAUAGGAGGUUUUUAGCUCUUCUGUGAAGGUGUGUGGGGUUUCUAAUUGGGCUUUAUACUCAUUCAGACAGUUGAGGAUGGCUAUCCUGUAUGCUAUAUUUUUCAAUUAAAUGUUAUUCUUCUCUAUGAAGAGAGAUACUUUGGCAAAGCCAUAAGUUUCAAGAGGAAUAGAGGGAAAUAAACCAACCUCAGCAAGGUCCUUUAGUAUUAACAGAACAAAAACUUUGGGGGAGGAGGGAGGCAAUAAUAUAAGUCUUUUCUACAUUUUGUAAGCAUGUUGUUACUAAGCUCUGAGAAAUUUCAGCUAGAAUCAAAUUAGUCCCUUUGUCUUUGUCCAGUGGCACCUUGGAUUAAUUAUGGGGGGAAAAAUAGUCGUUUUUUUCCUUUUGUUGGAAGAGAUUGACAAUAUCUCCAUCAGCAGAACACCAAGGGAAGAUAGUGUAGAACUGAGAUUUGAGUAUUUGGAUGGUGGCUCAGAGCAUCCAUCAGUAAUGCAUCUCCUUUGGUUUUUUUGGAGGCCCUAUUCAGGAGUAAAACCUGUCCUGAAUAAUGUGGAAGAAAAGUAAAUCUUUGCUCCAAAUGGGUAUGUUUGGUGUUCUUGGAGCCCACAGUGCUGGGCAAUGGCACUCUGCCAGCAGAUGUUGCAGGGUGAGCAUUUACAGUUGGCCUGAGGGUUUCUUCCUGUUUAAAGGCUGAGAAGUAGCAAUGAGGGUUUUAUCAGAUGAACGACAGUUGUGGAGGUAGAUAAGAAAAGUUUGGCAGUGAAGGCUGAAAUACAGCAGAGAAGUGAAGCCAUCAGUGUUGCUGCAGACCUUGGGUGCCGUAAAUAUGGCUGAGUUUUCACUCUGAGAUGAGUGGGAUGAUGGUAGGGUCAGGCUACCAGUGUUGUAUGGGGAUGGCCAAGAGCACGUUGAAGUUGAAACAAACCAUGAAGAGGAGCACCUUUGUCAAAGAUUAAAGAUGGGGAAAAAUCGAGGGAGAAGAUAAAAUGGGAGCUUAAAGAUGUGUGAG
ensembl:lncRNA